AGUAUUUAUGUAUCCGGAGAAAGUUCUCCAGUAAAUUCUGGAGAUCUUCGGUAUUUAAAUGUCAACAUCGAUUUGUUUAUUUAUUGCUUAGUUUAUCGUAACCGACUCAAUAACAAAUCUAAUCAUGUUGUGCAGAGAGAAAAUAUUCUCAUUAUGUAUUUCCCCUACAUUACAGUUAACUAUUGCGUUUGAAUUCAAGCUGUAAAUUCAAUAUUAUCAAGUAAUUACU
ensembl:misc_RNA